ensembl:lncRNA
CCUUUGGCAAAAUGGGUCAAAAGAAGGACUUGACAGGCUCAGGAAAGUCAAAAAUAGUGAGAUAUCUUGCAGAGGCAUGCAGCAGUCUUAAAAUUGCAAAGCUUCUGAAGCGUGAUCAUCGAACAAUCAAGCGUUUCAUUCAAAAUAGUCAACAGGGUCGCAAGAAGCGUGUGGAAAAACCAAGGCGCAAAAUAACUGCCCAUGAACUGAGAAAAGUCAAGCGUGCAGCUGCCAAGAUGCCACUUUCCACCAGUUUGGCCAUAUUUCAGAGCUGCAACAUCACUGGAGUGCCCAAAAGCACAAGGUGUGCAAUACUCAGAGACAUGGCCAAGGUAAGAAAGGCUGAAAGACGACCACCACUGAACAAGACACACAAGCUGAAACGUCAAGACUGGGCCAAGAAAUAUCUCAAGACUGAUUUUUCUAAGGUUUUAUGGACUGAUGAAAUGAGAGUGAGUCUUGAUGGGCCAGAUGGAUGGACCCGUGGCUGGAUUGGUAAAGGGCAGAGAGCUCCAGUCCCACUCAGACGCCAGCAAGGUGGAGGUGGAGUACUGGUUUGGGCUGGUAUCA